rnacentral:rRNA from 1 species
UGGCGGACGGGUGAGUAACGCGUGAGCAAUCUGCCCAUAUCAGGGGAAUAACAGUUAGAAAUGACUGCUAAUACCGCAUAAGACCACGGAAGGGCAUCCUUCUGGGGUAAAAGAUUUAUCGGAUAUGGAUGAGCUCGCGUCCAAUUAGGUAGUUGGUGAGGUAACGGCCCACCAAGCCGACGAUUGGUAGCCGACCUGAGAGGGUGAUCGGCCACAUUGGAACUGAGAAACGGUCCAGACUCCUACGGGAGGCAGCAGUGGGGAAUAUUGGGCAAUGGAGGCAACUCUGACCCAGCAAUGCCGCGUGAGUGAAGAAGGUUUUCGGAUUGUAAAGCUCUUUAAGUGGGGACGAAGAAAGUGACUGUACCCACAGAAUAAGCAUCGGCUAACUACGUGCCAGCAGCCGCGGUAAUACGUAGGAUGCAAGCGUUAUCCGGAAUGACUGGGCGUAAAGGGUGCGUAGGCGGUUUAGCAAGUUGGUAGCGUAAUUCCGGGGCUCAACUCCGGAACUACUACCAAAACUGCUAGGCUUGAGUGCGGCAGGGGUAUGUGGAAUUCCUAGUGUAGCGGUGGAAUGCGUAGAUAUUAGGAGGAACACCAGAGGCGAAGGCGACAUACUGGGCCGUAACUGACGCUGAGGCACGAAAGCGUGGGGAGCAACAGGAUUAGAUACCCUGGUAGUCCACGCUGUAAACGAUGA